rnacentral:rRNA from 1 species
UGAGUAACACGUAUGCAAUCCACCUGUAACAGGGGGAUAACCCGGAGAAAUCCGGACUAAUACCCCAUAAUAUGGGCGCUCCGCAUGGAGAGCCCAUUAAAGAGAGCAAUUUUGGUUACAGACGAGCAUGCGCUCCAUUAGCCAGUUGGCGGGUAACGGCCCACCAAAGCGACGAUGGAUAGGGGCUCUGAGAGGAAGGUCCCCCACAUUGGAACUGAGACACGGUCCAA